CACGUAGGGGCCUAGCGUUGUCCGGAUUUAUUGGGCGUAAAGAGCUCGUAGGCGGUUGGGCAAGUCACGUGUGAAAUCUCCACGCUCAACGUGGAGGCGCCACGUGAGACUGCCCUGACUCGAGUCCGGUAGGGGAGCGUGGAAUUCCCGGUGUAGCGGUGAAAUGCGCAGAGAUCGGGAGGAACACCCGUAGCGAAGGCGGCGCUCUGGGCCGGUACUGACGCUGAGGAGCGAAAGCGUGGGGAGCAAACAGG
rnacentral:rRNA from 1 species